UACAGGGAGGGGCAGCGUUGUUCGGAAUUACUGGGCGUAAAGGGCUCGUAGGCGGCCAACUAAGUCAGACGUGAAAUCCCUCGGCUUAACCGGGGAACUGCGUCUGAUACUGGAUGGCUUGAGGUUGGGAGAGGGAUGCGGAAUUCCAGGUGUAGCGGUGAAAUGCGUAGAUAUCUGGAGGAACACCGGUGGCGAAGGCGGCAUCCUGGACCAAUUCUGACGCUGAGGAGCGAAAGCGUGGGGAGCGAACAGG
rnacentral:rRNA from 1 species